AAUAUUGUACACUGGGGGCAACCCUGAUUCAGCCAUGCCGCGUGCGUGAAGAAGGUCUUCGGAUUGUCAAGCACUUUCAGUUGGGAGGAAGGGCUCUAGGUUAAUACUCUGAUGCCUUGACGUUACCAACCGCAUAAGCACCGGCUCAUCAUGUGUCAGCAGCCGCGGUAAUACAGAGGGUGCAAGCGUUAUUCGGAAUUACUGGGCGUAAAGCGCGCGUAGGUGGUUCAGUAAGAUGGGUGUGAAAUCCCCGGGCUUAACCUGGGAACUGGUUUCAUAACUGCUGAGCUAGAGUACGGUAGAGGGUAGUGGAAUUUCCUGUGUAGCGGUGAAAUGCGUAGAUAUAGGAAGGAACACCAGUGGCGAAGGCGACUACCUGGACUGAUACUGACACUGAGGUGCGAAAGCGUGGGGAGCAAAC
rnacentral:rRNA from 1 species